rnacentral:lncRNA from 1 species
UUAUAUAUGUGAUGUCCAUAUUUUUCAACAUAAUAACCAUUAAAUACAUAAACUAAAAUGACAUGACUUUUUUUAGUAUUAUGUAAAUGUAAUAGGCCAAUUUUGGCCUGGGCCCAAAUUACCAAAAUAAAACAAAAACCCAAACCAAAGAAUAAAUAAAUAAGUUUAAAAACCAAGUCCAUUUACAACAAAACCCUAGCCCAAUUCUAACCCAGCCCAAAUCAGCCCAACACCUAAACUAAACAAAAAAAACCCUAUCCCCCUAAGCCUUUAAUCGCCGCUCCUCCCACGCGCGCCGCACAGCCUCCUCGCACG